UACGGGGGGGGCAAGCGUUGUUCGGAAUUACUGGGCGUAAAGGGCUCGUAGGCGGCCAACUAAGUCAGACGUGAAAUCCCUCAGCUUAACUGGGGAACUGCGUCUGAUACUGGAUGGCUUGGAUUUGGGAGAGGGAUGCGGAAUUCCAGGUGUAGCGGUGAAAUGACGUAGAUAUCUGGAGGAACACCGGUGGCGAAGGCGGCAUCCUGGACCAAUAUUGACGCUGAGGAGCGAAAAGCCAGGGGAGCAAACGGG
rnacentral:rRNA from 1 species